rnacentral:rRNA from 1 species
UACGGAGGAUGCGAGCGUUAUCCGGAUUUAUUGGGUUUAAAGGGUGCGCAGGCGGACUUAUAAGUCAGCGGUGAAAUCUGGAGGCUUAACCUUCAACUUGCCGUUGAAACUGUAAGUCUUGAGUAUAGAUGAAGUAGGCGGAAUUCGUUGUGUAGCGGUGACAUGCUUAGAUAUAACGAGGAACUCCGAUUGCGUAGGCAGCUUACUAAGCUAUAACUGACGCUCAUGCACGAAAGCGUGGGGAUCAAACAGG